UUUUUUGUUAUGUUUUAAAUAUACGUUGGUACUUGCGAUUGUUUCAUUUAUGGAUUUAAUUUAAAAUUUAAAAAAUCCACUGGUCACAACAGUUCCUACAGAGAAUGCACACACUGUUUGGGUUUUUACUUUUCUGAGACUGACAGCACUUUUUAUGUGGCUGCAAAGCUUAUUGGACAGGACUUGGAGCUGACAGUUAAGCUGCUACUGCGGAUGAGGGCCAAGCAAUGAUGGUGGCGGCAGAAGGAGAGGAGGACAGUGGUUUGGUUGGUUUGCCAGUUGUAGGAGCGGGCAGCUGAGACUAAACGGCAGUAAUGGCCUAACGAGGAGAGAUCUGUAGAGCCAAACCAGAUGGAACGGCCACAGCCACGUGCCUGACUGGCAAAGCUUGUGGCUUGUUAGCCAAACACAGACACAGACAGAGAUUUACUAAAAGAUGAAGACAAAAAGAUGGGAGGAAUGUUCAAAUGAGACUAAGGGAUGUCUUCUAAGGGAUUUUUUGUUAUAUUACAUUUUAAUGUAUAUUUUCAGUCUUUCCUCUCUAUAUGCUUUCUCACCUCCUCUCUGCAUCCUCUCUCUCAACCCAAAACCUUUUCGCUGAUUGAUAUUCAGCACAUUCGGUGACUAAGCUUUUUCCCCUCUAUGUGCUAAGGGCUUAACUUUAAUGAAAGGGGAGAAGUUGAUUACAUAUGGGGAGCAAAAACUAGGCCUCCAUCUCCAGGGAGGAGUGUAGUAGACGGGAUGCCGCGCUGAGUUUUAGUCAACAAUGAAAGCAGACAGAGAAAAAGGAAAUUGGGGUUGGGGGGGGUGUGCACAUCAGAGUGUCCUUGGAAGUCAAAUUUCCCAGGGUGCUCAAGUGUCAGGAAUCAAGGAUGUGGAAAAAGGGAUAAAAAAUAUCCAUCGUGCUGGCUUUUUAGAGGAUUCAGGAGCAGUGAGCAGUGAAUGGACUGAGGUUGUGCAGGCUGAUGUCAUGCUGGAAGACAAUAUUUCGACAGAUAGGAGAGGAACACAUGCAUGCAUAGCUGAACUUGGGUGCAACACCUUUCAUCCCAUCCUUUGUGAAGGCAAGAUUUAGAGAGAAAGAGGAGAGAGAAGAAAGAAGGACACUGCACCUUUAGCUGACACAGACCACUGAUAAUGUGUCUGAGUCUAGACAGUGAUGAGACCCUGUGUGAACUCUAA